CACUGCCAUUGAUAAGUUAGUAACCCAGUUGUUAAGCGAAUCUGGCUUCCCCAUUGACUUCGCUCGUCAAAAGGUCUCAAAAGGGAAUUACAUAUCACACGGAUAC